GGACGAACGCUGGCGGCGUGCCUAAUACAUGCAAGUAGAACGCUGAAGAGAGGAGCUUGCUCUUCUUGGAUGAGUUGCGAACGGGUGAGUAACGCGUAGGUAACCUGCCUUGUAGCGGGGGAUAACUAUUGGAAACGAUAGCUAAUACCGCAUAACAAUGGAUGACACAUGUCAUUUAUUUGAAAGGGGCAAUUGCUCCACUACAAGAUGGACCUGCGUUGUAUUAGCUAGUAGGUGAGGUAACGGCUCACCUAGGCGACGAUACAUAGCCGACCUGAGAGGGUGAUCGGCCACACUGGGACUGAGACACGGCCCAGACUCCUACGGGAGGCAGCAGUAGGGAAUCUUCGGCAAUGGGGGCAACCCUGACCGAGCAACGCCGCGUGAGUGAAGAAGGUUUUCGGAUCGUAAAGCUCUGUUGUAAGUCAAGAACGAGUGUGAGAGUGGAAAGUUCACACUGUGACGGUAGCUUACCAGAAAGGGACGGCUAACUACGUGCCAGCAGCCGCGGUAAUACGUAGGUCCCGAGCGUUGUCCGGAUUUAUUGGGCGUAAAGCGAGCGCAGGCGGUUUGAUAAGUCUGAAGUUAAAGGCUGUGGCUCAACCAUAGUUCGCUUUGGAAACUGUCAAACUUGAGUGCAGAAGGGGAGAGUGGAAUUCCAUGUGUAGCGGUGAAAUGCGUAGAUAUAUGGAGGAACACCGGUGGCGAAAGCGGCUCUCUGGUCUGUAACUGACGCUGAGGCUCGAAAGCGUGGGGAGCGAACAGGAUUAGAUACCCUGGUAGUCCACGCCGUAAACGAUGAGUGCUAGGUGUUGGAUCCUUUCCGGGAUUCAGUGCCGCAGCUAACGCAUUAAGCACUCCGCCUGGGGAGUACGACCGCAAGGUUGAAACUCAAAGGAAUUGACGGGGGCCCGCACAAGCGGUGGAGCAUGUGGUUUAAUUCGAAGCAACGCGAAGAACCUUACCAGGUCUUGACAUCCCGAUGCUAUUUCUAGAGAUAGAAAGUUACUUCGGUACAUCGGUGACAGGUGGUGCAUGGUUGUCGUCAGCUCGUGUCGUGAGAUGUUGGGUUAAGUCCCGCAACGAGCGCAACCCCUAUUGUUAGUUGCCAUCAUUCAGUUGGGCACUCUAGCGAGACUGCCGGUAAUAAACCGGAGGAAGGUGGGGAUGACGUCAAAUCAUCAUGCCCCUUAUGACCUGGGCUACACACGUGCUACAAUGGUUGGUACAACGAGUUGCGAGUCGGUGACGGCAAGCUAAUCUCUUAAAGCCAAUCUCAGUUCGGAUUGUAGGCUGCAACUCGCCUACAUGAAGUCGGAAUCGCUAGUAAUCGCGGAUCAGCACGCCGCGGUGAAUACGUUCCCGGGCC
rnacentral:rRNA from 1 species